CGCACAAGGGAGUCCAGUGCAAAGCAGAGUUCCCAGCGUAAAUACCAUUCGUUGCCACCACCAGCUACUUGGAAGACCAGAGAAGCACCAGAUUCUUGUCUCUGUGACAGACUGGGGCAUGCGUAAACAGAAACCGGGCACCAUACAAGUAUCCUUGGUGAAAAGGAAGAAUGCUGUUGCUCUCUGCCAUCUGACGUGUUCGGACCCCAAAAAGAAAUUUUGAUCUGACAUGUAGACAAUGGGUAAUGCUCUAUUGGAUCUAAUUCAUUUCACAUUCACAUUAUGGGAAUUUGUGAUUAUUUCUUUAUUGCUAAAUGUAAGCAAUACAUACCCUGUACUAAGAAUUGAUCAUCAAUUACUCUCUAAGCAGAAAGACUGAAGUAAUGGUGAUGGUGGUGGUGGUUUUCUCUAGACAUAAUGGCCACCAGUUAGCCAAUGACAUAGUACACGGAUGACACAAUGGCUGUCUUUCCAAGAGAGAAAAAUAGAUUCACGCAGCUGCAUAUACCUUCUGUCUUAAAUGAUUCUAUUUCAUCACUAUGAAGAACUUACCCAACAGAGCUCUACCCUACAGCAACUACCCCUGCAAAAGUUACUUUUAUUUUCAAGUGUUCCAAGGUUUAGAUGAGUAUUAUUUGGGAAUUUGGCCAGUUAAAGGAGAGUUGGCAGGUUCUGAGUGUAAGGUGUUCAAAAGUCAGGAUCCCAUUACAGCGGCUAUUCCAGGCAAGUUCAAGUAGACAUCCCAAGUCAGGAUGGUCUGGAACUUAUUGGGGGAAAAAGUGGACCCCUGAUGACAGCUACCAAACAGAGAUGGCCACACACACAUUCAGUCUGGUUCUAGCUUACCCUUAUCUUGCUGCCAUCAAUACUUGGAACAUUUAAAAGGUAGCCAUUUUUAUUCCAAAACGUUGUCCUUGAAGUGUAUUUCUCUCAGCCUCACGCUGCCUGCCCACCGUACCAGUAAUAUGUUUGCUGGAAUGCAGGAAAUCCAGCUAAAGAGUAAAAGAUGUUUGGAUGGUAACCAAUAUUUACACUGCAGCUGGGUGUGAGUCUUUCAAAGGCCUCAAAAAUGUGCAUAUUGUUGACCUACCAAUUUCAUUUCUAACAAUUUUUCCAAAGAAAAUAACUAGAGGUUUGUGCAAGGACUGAGCUACAAGGACUCUUAUUGUAGAGUUGUUUUAUAAUAUUAAAAAAAUAAACAAACCACCUGAAUAUACAGCUAUAUGGAAUCUUUAAAUAAUUCAUGGUGUAUGUGUUUCACUAGAAUAUUUUGCUAUCAUUUAAGAGUAAUAACAAUCUCUAAAUGAAUAGAAAAAUAUUUAUAGAACAGCAUUCAGGGAAAAAGCUUGGAAGGUAACGUUUUGUACUGUGUAAACUAUAAGAAAAAACUGAAGGGACACACACCCCAACUCUAAGAGGAAUUAUAAGGGAGUGAUGGGUUUAGCAACUGCCUUCUAUAGUCUUCUCUCUGCUUUUCUAUAUUUUCCAAAUAAACUGCAAUAAAUCUGUAUUAGUUUUAUAUUCAGAAAAAAAGUAAUUUCCAGAACAAUAAAGUAAAUUUGGGAGCACGAAUGUCAGUCGUUGGAAGCUCUCUGAGCUCUUUGAGAGCAAAGGUUUGCAGAUUAAGGUCUGUGUUGACUUGUUUUACCUUAAACAGAAAUGCGUGCUGUUGCUACUUUUGUGUUCACAAAUGAUAAGGCUUCAACUCCCUUAAGUGGGAAGCCCCAGAUAUGUUUUUUCAGGAAGUUUUGGAUGAGCAUUUAGUGGGGCUGGUGUGUUGAAGCAAACAGCCAAAGAAUAAAAUGUCGGCCAAGAAGUAGCGUGUAGGCAGGAACAGUUUCCUGCAGGUGCUGUGCUCAGAAUUCCUGGACAUAAGAACAAAAGCUGACAAUUCCUUUUGAUACCGACUAGGGUUCUUGGCCUUCCCCAAUCAGUAGAAAUUGAUGAGAGGCCAGACAAGAAGUUCAGGCAAGGCUUUACCGGGGCCCCUGCUGCAGCAGCGGGGAGCAGCUUAGGCGGUUUGCCCACCCCUUUGGUGGGGUUGAGUGCAGGGCGCAUGUGCAGUGUCCUUCUUUUGCUCCUGACACCCUGUUUUUGUUCCCGGCUCUUCGGAAGUGGCAGUUGGGUUUUUUUUUAAUAUCUUUUGUCCAGAAUUUGCCCCAGCUGUGCAUGCAUGCAGUUAUUUUUAGUCCCUUAUAGUUUCUUUGUAUUUUGUCGCUCUGGGGGACAUUUUUCCAGGUGCAAGCAUUGCAACAGUGCAGCACAGGGUCCCAGGUCCCAGCCUGUCUCACUUUGACCC